GGCCGGUUGGCUCAGUUGGUUGGAGUGCAGCGCUCGUAGCACUGGGGUUGCUGGUUCGAUUCCUGCAUGGGCCG